UACGUAGGGUGCGAGCGUUGUCCGGAAUUAUUGGGCGUAAAGAGCUCGUAGGCGGUGUGUCACGUCGGCCGUGAAAACCUGCAGCUUAACUGUGGGCGUGCGGUCGAUACGGGCAUCACUGGAGUUCGGCAGGGGAGACUGGAAUUCCUGGUGUAGCGGUGAAAUGCGCAGAUAUCCGGAGGAACACCGGUGGCGAAGGCGGCUCACUGGCCCGAUACUGACGCUGAGGCACGAAAGCGUGGGGAGCAAACAGG
rnacentral:rRNA from 1 species